rnacentral:rRNA from 1 species
AGAGUUUGAUCCUGGCUCAGAUUGAACGCUGGCGGCAUGCUUUACACAUGCAAGUCGAACGGCAGCGCGGGCUUCGGCCUGGCGGCGAGUGGCGAACGGGUGAGUAAUAUAUCGGAACGUACCCAGAAGUGGGGGAUAACGUAGCGAAAGUUACGCUAAUACCGCAUACGAUCUACGGAUGAAAGCAGGGGACCGCAAGG